AAUCAACGCUGGCGGCGUGCCUCAGACAUGCAAGUCGAACGCGAAAGUCCCCUUCGGGGGACGAAGUAGAGUGGCGCACGGGUGGGUAACACGUAGGUAAUCUACCUUCGGAUGGGGAAGUAACAACCGGAAACGGUUGCUAAUACCGCAUAAUGCAGCGGCACCUAAUGGUGACAGUUGUUAAAGCGGGGGAUCGAAAGACCUCGCGUCUGAAGAGGAGCCUGCGGCGGAUUAGCUAGNGGUUAAGGUAAUGGCUUACCAAGGCGACGAUCCGUAGCCGGCCUGAGAGGGCGGUCGGCCACACUGACACUGACAUACGGGUCAGACUCCUACGGGAGGCAGCAGUGGGGAAUCUUGCGCAAUGGGCGAAAGACCUGACGCAGCGACGCCGCGUGAGGGAUGACGGCCUCGGUUGUAACGUACUUCU
rnacentral:rRNA from 1 species